UUUUAUGGAGAGUUUGAUCCUGGCUCAGGAUGAACGCUGGCGGCGUGCCUAAUACAUGCAAGUCGAGCGAACGGACGAGAAGCUUGCUUCUCUGAUGUUAGCGGCGGACGGGUGAGUAACACGUGGAUAACCUACCUAUAAGACUGGGAUAACUUCGGGAAACCGGAGCUAAUACCGGAUAAUAUUUUGAACCGCAUGGUUCAAAAGUGAAAGACGGUCUUGCUGUCACUUAUAGAUGGAUCCGCGCUGCAUUAGCUAGUUGGUAAGGUAACGGCUUACCAAGGCAACGAUGCAUAGCCGACCUGAGAGGGUGAUCGGCCACACUGGAACUGAGACACGGUCCAGACUCCUACGGGAGGCAGCAGUAGGGAAUCUUCCGCAAUGGGCGAAAGCCUGACGGAGCAACGCCGCGUGAGUGAUGA
rnacentral:rRNA from 1 species